UACGUAGGGGGCAAGCGUUGUCCGGAUUUAUUGGGCGUAAAGAGCGUGUAGGCGGUUCGGUAGGUCCGUUGUGAAAACUCGAGGCUCAACCUCGAGACGCCGAUGGAAACCCCCGAACUAGAGUCCGGAAGAGGAGAAUGGAAUUCCUGGUGUAGCGGUGAAAUGCGCAGAUAUCAGGAAGAACACCCGUGGCUAAGGCGGUUCUCUGGUACGGUACUGACGCUGAGACGCGAAAGCGUGGGGAGCGAACAGG
rnacentral:rRNA from 1 species